rnacentral:lncRNA from 1 species
ACCUAAGGAGAAGCUUCAUGAGCAUGAUUAAAACUAGAGUUAGAUGAGGUUUGAACAUAACAUGAGGUAAUUAAUCAUCAAGUUAUUGGAGACUCAAGAAGGGCAUUUUCUCAAGAAAUUGUACACGUCUUUAGAUGUGCAAGCGAUGAGCGAUAGGAUCAUAACGUCUGUACCACUUUUGAGUUUCACCAUGACCUCAGAAGACUCAUUUGAUGGUUCUAGCUGUUUGUUUAACUCGUUCGUGAACUGGGAGUAAUGCAUGACAAACGCAACCAAAGACAAAGUCGAGGGUAAUGUGGAACACAUUUGAACAAAUUCUCUAGAGGAGAGACAUUUCCAAUAAAAGAUGACGGAGUCCGAUUAAUGGAUGUUGAAAUGGCUUCAAGCCCAAAAGCUCUAAGCAACUCCAAACUCUGUUAAGGAGGGAGCUUAUAGUUACAAUAUUAUGGUGAUAUUUACAUUCAUUGGCUCCAUUCCGCCGAGAUCGCUGAUGAAU